GGAUGAUCCCCACUGUAUCUGGAACCGACAGACUCUACCGGAAGGCAGCAGUAGAUAUGACAUGACGCAAGCUGAUCAGCAUGCGCUGAUGAAUGAGCCCUAUGGUCGUAAACUUCUUUUAUACGGGACAAAACCCCUCCUCGUGAGAGGGUGAUGUACUGUAAGAUAAGGGUCGGCUAACUUCGUGCCAGCAGCGCGGUAAUACGAAGGACCCGAGCGUUAUCCGGGAUUUAUUGGGUUUAAAGGGUGCGUAGGCGGAUUAGUAAGUCAGUGGUGAAAGCCCGUCGCUUAACGGCGGAACUGCCAUUGAUACUGCUAGUCUUGAGUAUGGUUGAGGUGGGCGGAAUGUGUCAUGUAGCGGUGAAAUGCUUAGAUAUGACACAGAACACCAAUUGCGAAGGCAGCUCGCUAAGCCAUAACUGACGCUGAGGCACGAAAGCGUGGGGAGCAAACAGGAUUAGAUACCCUGGUAGUCCACGCCCUAAACGAUGAUAACUCGUUGUUGGCGAUACACAGUCAGCGACUAAGCGAAAGCAUUAAGUUAUCCACCUGGGGAGUACGACCGCAAGGUUGAAACUCAAAGGAAUUGACGGGGGCCCGCACAAGCGGAGGAGCAUGUGGUUUAAUUCGAUGAUACGCGAGGAACCUUACCUGGGC
rnacentral:rRNA from 1 species